rnacentral:rRNA from 1 species
GUGUCAGCAGCCGCGGUAAUACGAAGGGUGCGAGCGUUAUUCGGAAUCACUGGGCGUAAAGGGUGCGUAGACGGUAUGUUAAGUUUGUUGUUAAAGGCUCCGGCCUAACUGGAGUAUUGCGAUGAAAACUGGCAAACUAGAGGGUGAGAGAGAGAAGUGGAAUUCCCGGAGUAGCGGUAAAAUGCGUGGAUCUCGGGAGGAACACCAAUGGCGAAGGCAGCUUCUUGGCUCAUUCCUGACGUUGAGGCACGAAAGCGUGGGGAGCAAACAGGAUUAGAUACCCGUGUAGUCC